UCAUUCCUGCUACCCCAUAUCUUGAAGAUACAGAAAAGAGUCUCUUCUCUGAUGGAGUUACCCAAGGAAGCCUUCAGAAUCCUUCCAUUUGACCCUCAGAGUAAUCUCAAAGCAUCUCAAUUAAAAGAAAAGAAUUUGAGAACGCAGUCGACAACUCAGGAAUUAAAACAAGUAUUGCAGAAGAACAGAGGAGAAUUCUAAGGUGAGUAUUGACAUCUGCUUAAAAUGACUGACACUGGGGUCUCAUCUGGAGUGGAAGAAAAGCGAUCUGACAGAGACUGGCUAACUGGAAGGCUAACAGAAAGGCUUCAGCAUUCCCAGAACGACAAAGACGAAAGCUUGAAAGAAUGAAAAACUGUGCUAAGGGAGGAGUUUUAUUCCUUCAAAAAUACUUUAUGCCAAAUAGGCAGUACUGUGCUGAAGCAUGCAUAUGCAAAGGUUAAUCAGACAUGAUUUAGACUGGGAGAAAAAGUAUCAUCAGACGGAAGUAGAUUGGAAAUAAAGUCACUGCAGUCAUGGAACUAGGGAACACAAGGCCAAAGAUACAAAGGAAUUUUAGGCACCAUGUAAUAUUCACUCUGAAACUGUAAGGCAGAAAGCAUUGCUUUUAUAAAGAAUUUAUGUUAUCUUUUUUUGAUGUUGUUG